rnacentral:rRNA from 1 species
UACGUAGGGCGCAAGCGUUAUCCGGAAUUAUUGGGCGUAAAGAGCUCGUAGGCGGUUUGUCGCGUCUGCCGUGAAAGUCCGGGGCUCAACUCCGGAUCUGCGGUGGGUACGGGCAGACUAGAGUGAUGUAGGGGAGACUGGAAUUCCUGGUGUAGCGGUGAAGUGCGCAGAUAUCAGGAGGAACACCGAUGGCGAAGGCAGGUCUCUGGGCAUUAACUGACGCUGAGGUGCGAAAGCUAGGGGAGCGAACGGG